ensembl:lncRNA
AGAGCGUACACAUGUAGAGUUAAUACUGCCGCUGCCGCUCUGCACCGCUGCACAGUAAUACUCUCUGAUCGCAGAGACGCGCCCAAUGUCUCCGUGUCCCUGUGUCGUUCAGGCCUCGCACACACAUACACGCGGCCCCUGUGCAGAAUGGCUCGGCUCCAGGAAUAAUUGAAUGGUUGGAUUCUUCUCUGCGCGCUGGUGCUGAGAGGUUGAGAGAGAGUCGGAGAGGGACUGACAGGAUUCAGGAAGUCAUAUCAACACCGUGUCUCCGGAAUAAUGCAGCCGUGACAGUCAGCACCUCUGCUGUCAGAUUAGCUGAUCUCUAAUUUCCGAAGGGUCAUGUGACAUUGAAGAGGUCAAUGGAGUAAUGGCUGCUGAAAAUUCAGCUUUUCCAUCAGUGGAAUAAAUUCCCAUCUAACAAAAAUAUGUUGUGCUAAACGAGAACAGAAGAUGCCUGGGAAACAAAUGGCCAAAAUAAGCAGCAGAAGUGCACUUCUAUUUCCUCUAACUCAAGAGUGCAGGGGUGAAAAGUCAGGCGAAGGACAGUAUGACAGAUCGAGGGAAGGAUUUACACAAGCUCCAGUCUGGAUCCAGAACACCUGAGAAGAGAUGAUGCCAACCCCUCAGAGGACCUCAGAUGAUGCUAACCCAGAGACAACAUACAGAACUACCACAUUUUGCUAUAAGUUUGAUUGCAUAAUUGCUGUUAAUAGUGUUAAUCGUCUGUUUGUUUACGUCUUUUAUUGAUUUUUCUGAACAUUUCUGCCGUAUGCACAUGAACUGACAGUCACCACUGAUAAGCUACUAGUAAAUAUUGUAGAAACUUAAUUUUCUGUAAAGUUGCUUUGUAAUGAUUUGUAUCGUAAAAAGCGCUAUACAAAUAAACUUGAAUUGAAUUGAAUUGAA